GACUCUCAGCAACGGAUAUCUCGGCUCUCGCAUCGAUGAAGAAUGUAGUCAAAUGCGAUACUUGGUGUGAAUUGUAGGAUCCAACGAACCACCGAGUCUUUGAAUGCAAGUUGCGCCUAGAGCCUUCGGGCAGAGGGCAUGUCGCCUAGGCAUCA
rfam:Cucumis sativus cultivar 9930 chromosome 3, whole genome shotgun sequence.